rnacentral:misc_RNA from 1 species
GAGUAGCUCGAGCGGGAUAGAGAAGUAGGCAAUGGCAAUCAAGAGGUCGCUCACUUUCUGCCACUGGAGAAUGCUCUCUGUACUCCAAUAUUCCUCGCCAUCGCAAUUGCAGCGGUGAAAAUCAAACGCGGACGCUGAUGCAGCAAAUAGUAUGGGGAAAACAAACAGGCCGGACCACAAUGCUCUGAACAUUUGUUCGAUGGAGCUUCAUUCAAUCUAGCUCAUAUGACCAAGGGAUCAACAGCCUUUAGAUCCAAC